ACGGGAGGCAGCAGUGGGGAAUAUUGGACAAUGGGGGAAACCCUGAUCCAGCGACGCCGCGUGAGUGAAGAAGUAUUUCGGUAUGUAAAGCUCUAUCAGCAGGAAAGAAAAUGACGGUACCUGACCAAGAAGCCCCGGCUAACUACGUGCCAGCAGCCGCGGUAAUACGUAGGGGGCAAGCGUUAUCCGGAUUUACUGGGUGUAAAGGGAGCGUAGACGGUUUUGCAAGUCUGAAGUGAAAUGCCGGGGCUCAACCCCGGAACUGCUUUGGAAACUGUAGAACUAGAGUGCAGGAGAGGUAAGUGGAAUUCCUAGUGUAGCGGUGAAAUGCGUAGAUAUUAGGAGGAACACCAGUGGCGAAGGCGGCUUACUGGACUGUAACUGACGUUGAGGCUCGAAAGCGUGGGGAGCAAACAGGAUUAGAUACCCUGGUA
rnacentral:rRNA from 1 species